CCUACGGGUGGCAGCAGUGGGGAAUAUUGCGCAAUGGGCGAAAGCCUGACGCAGCGACGCCGCGUGAGGGAUGCAGGUCUUCGGAUCGUACACCUCUGUCAGCAGGGAAGAACGGUCACUGUGCUAAUCAGCAGUGAAAUGACGGUCCCUGACUAAGAAGCACCGGCUAAAUACGUGCCAGCAGCCGCGGUAAUACGUAUGGUGCAAGCGUUAUCCGGAUUUACUGGGUGUAAAGGGAGCGCAGGCGGCUCGUUAAGCCUGGUGUGAAAGCCCGCGGCCCAACCGCGGGACUGCAUUGGGGACUGGCGCGCUGGAGUGCCGGAGGGGUAGGCGGAAUUCCUAGUGUAGCGGUGAAAUGCGUAGAUAUUAGGAGGAACACCAGUGGCGAAGGCGGCCUACUGGACGGUGACUGACGCUGAGGCUCGAAAGCGUGGGGAGCAAACAGGAUUAGAUACCCCUGUAGUC
rnacentral:rRNA from 1 species